rnacentral:lncRNA from 1 species
CUGGUCUUGAACUACUGACCUUGUGAUCCACCCGCCUUGGUCUCCCAGAGUGCGUUGAGCCACCGCACCCGGCCGUCUGCUCACUUUUAACUGUGGAAAUGCAGCCCAGCCCAGCUGAAAGCUCGAAUCUUCUGUCCUGCUCAUGCUCCCCUGCCCCGGGGUGAGGCUGCUGUCUCUCCAGACUUGGGGUGGGGACAGAGGUGUGCGUGCUCUCCUGCUCGCUCCCCUCCACCCUCUGGGCUGGUACCCUGAUGAGCCACCAGCUCUGAUGACUCCGACCUCCCUAUCCCCACACAGAGGCUGGGGCUGCGGCUGGGUGACUGGCGGGUCAGUCCUGCUCAGCCCUGCAGGCUGUGUGUCUGGGUCUAAUGAGUUUCUUAGAAUGUGGAGAUUGUGCUGGGUGGUGUUGGGGGUUGCUUGGAACCUCUGUCAUUUUCAUCUGUGGACCUUAGUCAUCAAUUCCGCUGCUCUAGUAAAAUUCCUACUGGAAAUAAAACCCUGCACCACCCCCCUCUCUCUGUGGGAGCCUCCAGGAUGUCUCUGGGGUCUUCCCCGCCAGCCUCCAUAGCUGUAUUCAUCAGGGUUCUCCGGAGAAACAGAAGCAGUAGGAGACGGGUUUAUUUAUUCCAGGGAACUGGCUCAUGUGAUUACAGAAGCUGAGAUGUCCUGAGACCUGCCACCUGGAGACGGAGGAGGGCCUAUGUCACCAUCUGAGUCUGAAGGCCUGAGACCCAGGAGAGCUGAUGAUGCAGCCGAGUUCAAAUCUGAAGGCUGGACAAGAUCCCAUCAGCUUGAAGACCUUCAGGCAGAGAAAGUGGGCUCUCCCUCCCUCAGCCUUUUGUUCUGCUCAGGCCUUCAAGGGAUUGGAGGAUGCCCGCCCACGCAGGGGACAGCCAUGGACUUUCCUCAGUCCUUCAACUCAAAUGCUGAUCUCACCCAGAGACAGCUCACAGAUACCCUAGAGAACAUGCGGCCAAAUAUCUCGCCACCUCUUCCCAGUCAAGGUGACACAUGAAAUUGGCCAUCACAGCGUCCUGGUAUCAUUGUAUCAGAGUUGGCCUGUGUGACAGUGAGUGAUGUCCAAGCCUAGUUCACAAAUGGCUUUGUGGAUCCCACCUUGCUCUCCCUGGGGUCACUCUGGGGGAAGACAGUCGCCAUGUUAGGAGAAUGCUCAAGCAGCCUUGUGGAGAAGCCUAUGAGGCCAGGGACUGAGGCCUCCCGCCAAUAGCCUGUGAGGAGCUGCAGCCUCCACCAAUGGCCUUGUGAGGACUGGAGGCCUCUCCCCAGCAGCCAUGUGAGCAAGCUUCCUUGGAAACGGAUCCCCCAGCCCAGUCGCACGUGCAGGUGUUGCCGUCCUGGCGGCAACCUCGUGCCAGAUCCUGAGCCACAGCCACCCCACUGGGCUUCUUCCAAAUCCUGGAGCCUCUGAAACUGUAAGAUAAUGAAGGCCCAGCGUCCCUCGAGGUGAGGUUGGGACCAUGUGACCAGCCAUGGCCAAUGGGCUCUGAGCAGAAGGACCAUGAGUCGGCUUGCCAACACACUCAGAGGUUGCAUGCCUCCUCCACAGGCCCCUCUCUGCCGUGGGACCCUGGAGGCAUGUCUGUGAGGGCGGCACUAGGAGAUGGGGAACCCGGCCCCCCAGUGACCCUGGAGGAGGGCCCUGACAAUCCGUGUGCUGCUUGCCCUAGAGAGAAAUACGCUGUAGCGCGAUUAAGCUGUGAGAUUUUGGAGGUUUGCUUGUUACUGCGUCACGUCACGGCCCAGCCUCUCCUGACUCGGUGCAGCAGAUAACAAUGGCAGUCAAAGCACCACGUUAUCUGUUCUGAAGAAAGUGGAACUUUCUUCUGAAAAUGCAGGUGGCCUCAGACACUCCGGGAGGCGUUCUCAAUCCAUUGCAACACUUUGUGGGGGAAAUUGCCUGAGUCCCCCAGCUCGUCCAUCUCUGCACCGGAGACUGUACGGGGUGAAGGAGGGUGUCUUAGGAAGCCACUGAGGCAUCGCCAGAGCCCGCACGGGCAGCGUCAGGCACCCCAGGAGGUCAUUUCACAUGUUCUACAAGGACAUGUUUUCAGCUCUCCAGUUUUCUAGUGGAGGAAACCAAACCUCCCAGGUGGUCAACACAGGCGUUUGCCCCACAUGCCACCACCAGGUAGCCACGGGUCUCAUGGGUGACUGGGAAUGGGAGGGGAAGGAAGAAGCUCUUCUUUUGUGGAAUCUGAUCACAGGGAACCCUCUCCCGCCCGGGGCUCAGAAUCUGAUCACAGGGAACCCUUUCCCGCCUGGGGCUCAGAAUCUGAUCACAGGGAACGCUCUCCCGCCCGAGGCUCAGAAUCUGAUCACAGGGAACCCUCUCCCACCUGGAGCUCAAGAUGGUUUCCUGCAGACCUGGAAUUAAACGUCAGGCUCCUGCCUGAGUCGCCGGGACCCCCAGCCUGGCUGACCUCUUCUUGCUCUGCUGAGCUCUCUGCAUGCCCCCAAGGCCCUCUCCGCCUCUGGCUCAGCCCUUAGGAAGCCCUGGCAGAGAAGCCCAGGAUGGGAGAGGCAAAAUGGGGAGGAUGAGGUUUGCAUUACCUGUAAUCCUGGCCAGGCCACAGUACCUAAGUGCUCAAACAUGAGCCCAGGUGUAGCUGGGAAGGUGUCCUGCAGAGGAGCUCAAUAUCCACAAUCAGAUGAUCUGAAGGAGAUUAGCCUCGAUUUUUCUGGGAGGGACUCAUCCCUUCAAAGGAAGCCCUUAAGAGUGAAAACCGAGGUUUCACUGAGAACACCUGCCUCAAGACGGUGACGUGCCCUACUGCGUGUCUCCUGCCUGCCGCCUGCCCUGCAGGUUUUGAACCCCCAUGAUUGCGGGAUCCAAUGCCUUAAAAUAAAUCUCUAAACAUAUAUCCGUCUAGGUAAACCGCCUGUUGUCUAAACAUAUAUCCGUGUAUGUAAACCGCCUGUUGUCUAAACAUAUAUCCGUGUAUGUAAACCGCCUGUUGUCUAAACAUAUAUCCGUGUAUGUAAACCGCCUGUUGUCUAAACAUAUAUCCGUGUAUGUAAACCGCCUGUUGUCUAAACAUAUAUCCGUGUAUGUAAACCGCCUGUUGUCUAAACAUAUAUCCGUGUAUGUAAACCGCCUGUUGUUGUCUAAACAUAUAUCCGUGUAUGUAAACCGCCUGUUCUCUAAACGUAUAUCCGUGUAUGUAAACCGCCUGUUGUCUAAACGUAUAUCCGUGUAUGUAAACCGCCUGUUCUCUAAACGUAUAUCCGUGUAUGUAAACCGCCUGUUCUCUAAACGUAUAUCCGUGUAUGUAAACCGCCUGUUCUCUAAACAUAUAUCCGUGUAUGUAAACUGCCUGUUGUCUAAACGUAUAUCCGUGUAUGUAAACCGUCUGUUCUCUAAACAUAUAUAUGUGUAUGUAAACCGCCUAUUGUCUAAAUAUAUAUACGUGUAUAUGAA